rnacentral:lncRNA from 1 species
GGGAACCCAACCUAACAGAUACUCACUGCACACUGGGAAUGUGCCACCAAAGGUAAAAGUAAUGUGAGCACGCAUUCCUUGUUCCUCGUUGUCAGUAGAAUCCAACGCUCCUCUUAGCUUUUUGUUUUUUGCUUUCAGUGCAGUGAAACCGAGGUGGAAGCACUGUUCCUCAAGUAGCUGAAACCACUUCCAGAAAGCAUCUUUGGGCCCCAGGGCUGCCUCACAGCAGGAAACAGCAAAGAGACCAGCUGGCACAAGCUUGCUUUCUCUAGGAACCAGAUGCUAGAACCACUGACUCACAUCUCUAUGCCCAGUCCUGCUAGGAUCUCUAGGACAAACCUGCGUCUUAACCAGGACAACUGUCUUUGCUGCUUCCCCACUGCCUACAAAAUCAUGAUCAACUUCUUCAGCUUGAUAUGCAAGACUUAUCACAGGUGAACCCAGGACUAUCUUCACAGUCUUGUCUCUGAUUGCCUGAAUACCCUAAAGUCACCCUGGACUAGCGUUCAUCAUUCCCUGCCUGUCCAUGCAAUUUCAUGCCUCUUUGCUACUGUCCAUUCUGUUCCAUCAUCUCUUCUCUUCCUGGUGAAACUCCUUUCCAUCCUUCCAGAUUUGGCUCUAAAUGUCACUCUCUUCUACAACUUCCUUUGAUCCUUUCUUCAGGGAGCUGGAGGAGGAAGUAAGGGAAGGGUCAGUAAGUAUUUCCAUAGAAUUUUAUUUACUAU